CAGCAGCCGCGGUAAUACAGAGGAUGCAAGCGUCAUCCGGAAUGAUUGGGCAUAAAGUGUCUGUAGGUGGCUUUUCAAGUCCGCCGUCAAAUCCCAGGGCUCAACCCUGGACAGGCGGUGGAAACUACCAAGCUGGAGUAUGGUAGGGGCAGAGGGAAUUUCCGGUGGAGCGGUGAAAUGCGUUGAGAUCGGAAAAAACACCAACGACGAAAGCACUCUGCUGGGCCGACACUGACACUUAGAGACGAAAGCUAGGGGAGCAAAUGGGAUUAGAUACCCCCGUAGUCCCUGUCUCUUAUAC
rnacentral:rRNA from 1 species